rnacentral:rRNA from 1 species
GUGGGGAAUAUUGGACAAUGGGCGAAAGCCUGAUCCAGCAAUGCCGCGUGAGUGAAGAAGGCCUUAGGGUUGUAAAGCUCUUUUACCCGGGAUGAUAAUGACAGUACCGGGAGAAUAAGCUCCGGCUAACUCCGUGCCAGCAGCCGCGGUAAUACGGAGGGAGCUAGCGUUGUUCGGAAUCACUGGGCGUAAAGCGCACGUAGGCGGCUUUGUAAGUUAGAGGUGAAAGCCCGGGGCUCAACUCCGGAACUGCCUUUAAGACUGCAUCGCUUGAAUCUGGGAGAGGUAAGUGGAAUUCCGAGUGUAGAGGUGAAAUUCGUAGAUAUUCGGAAGAACACCAGUGGCGAAGGCGGCUUACUGGACUGUAACUGACGUUGAGGCUCGAAAGCGUGGGGAGCAAACAGGAUUAGAAACCCGGGUAGUCC